CCCCCGGCGCCCCGCCUCGUGACGUCACGGCGUCGGCCCGCCCACCUCCCAGAAGGUGACUUACGCGGGCAGGGAAGCGGUAUUCGGGCCGCCGGGCGUCGGGCUCGGCUUCAGGAACCUGUGUUUGUACGCGUGUGCUGAGAAACCAACGCUGAGUCUGCUGUCGCUCCCCUGACUGCUGAUCUUGAUGGUGUUUUCCCACGUCCUCCCCUCUUCUACCUGCUGCUGCUGAGUUAACAGCCUUCCGGACCCUUUUAGGCCGCCUGACCCACUCUGAACCAGAGGACCUUCCCCAACCUGUGUUCAUUUUUCUGUUGCUGCUGUAAAAUUUCCUGAGGAACUGAGGCCCUUGGUCCAACAGUCCAUGAGAAACUGAAUUGUGCCAACCACCAUUUGAAUGAGCGUGGCAUCAGAUCCACACCUGGGGAGCCUCAAGAUGCUCACAGCCCAUGCAAAACCCUGAGCAGGGGACCUGGGAAGCAGCACCCAGAUUUCUGACUUGCAGACACUGUGAGCGGAGGUGGCCCAGCCGUGAGCGAAAGGCACAGCCCCAGGAAGCUCUCACUUACCUCCACACAGCACGGCUUUCUAAACAUUAAAAUGCAUUCCUGGGACUUAAAACCUUCCAUCGGAGGACAUGAAUGAGGACGUAGCACAUUGCUUCUGGAAGACUGCCAACUUCUGCACUCUCCAGCGGGGAGCCAGGACGGUUGCCUACUUGAAGCCCGGACCGCCCCCAAAGUGUGUGCACCAAGCCUCGCUACUUAAACAAGGAUUCCAAGGGUCCUGGACAGGGAGGAGGGCCUGGAAACAAAGCAAAGGCACAGUGGCGACUUCACUAAUUCUUCUCACCCGGGAGUUCCGCAGCUGCCUGCGGGCACAGGUAAUAAUGCUGAAGGCCCCUCCACAAUCCUGCACUUCCCUGCAGGCAGUAAGGAAGGUAGCUUCCCAGCACGCUCACAGUUACACUGGGCUGUGGCAUUUAAGCUCUGGCCUCUGGACUAAGAAGGCCCCAGAUCUCUUACGGGAUCCUCCAUGGCCUCCUCCCCAUUCCGCACUGACCCGAGAUGACGUGGGUUGAAGAUGACCGUGCCCAACUUGGGAGGAAACUGGGUCCCUGAAUCACUAUGGAGUAGAGCUCCCUCUCCCUCCUUCAGUUCACCGGCAUGGAACUUUGACAGAAGCAAGAAAUCACCUUGUAGCAUUCGGCCUCUGAGAUCUGGGCGUUCCUUGUUACGUCAGUUAGCAUUACCUACCCGACCACCGCACCAUACUGGCCGUGACACACUGGGAAGUCACGCAUCCAUUCAGCAUUUGCUAAACAGCUGAUGGCAAGAACUAUGUGAGAUGCAAUUUGCAACUGAGGGAAGGAGACUUCACCUGAUGG